rnacentral:rRNA from 1 species
GACGAACGCUGGCGGCGUGCCUAAUACAUGCAAGUAGAACGCACAGUUUAUACCGUAGCUUGCUACACCAUAGACUGUGAGUUGCGAACGGGUGAGUAACGCGUAGGUAACCUGCCUGGUAGUGGGGGAUAACUAUUGGAAACGAUAGCUAAUACCGCAUAAUAUUGAUUAUUGCAUGAUAAUUAAUUGAAAGGUGCAAUUGCACCACUACCAGAUGGACCUGCGUUGUAUUAGCUAGUAGGUGAGGUAACGGCUCACCUAGGCGACGAUACAUAGCCGACCUGAGAGGGUGAUCGGCCACACUGGGACUGAGACACGGCCCAGACUCCUACGGGAGGCAGCAGUAGGGAAUCUUCGGCAAUGGACGAAAGUCUGACCGAGCAACGCCGCGUGAGUGAAGAAGGUUUUCGGAUCGUAAAGCUCUGUUGUAAGAGAAGAACGGGUGUGAGAGUGGAAAGUUCACACUGUGACGGUAUCUUACCAGAAAGGGACGGCUAACUACGUG